AGCGGGCCCAGCGCGGCGGCCGCCGCCGCGAAGUAGGCGACGGUGGAGGGGGAGACGCCGCUGUCCCUUACGGUCUGCGCCAAGGAGGCGGCGGUGGCGCAGAGGUGCUCGUCGACCUCCCGCCGCGAGCCGCCGAGGCGGGCGAGGAUGGCCGCCGCGAGGGCGGCCUCGCCGGAGAACAGGGAGAGGUCGGGGGCGGCGCCGGAGACCGAGCGGGGCGUCUGGGGGAGCUCCUCCAUGUCGACGUCGGCCAUGGCUGCGGUGGCGGGCGGGCGGGGGGCUGCACGCGCGGCCGGAGCUUUUGGGGGGGAGGAGGCGCUAGGGUUUUGGGGAGGUUGGGAGAGACGGGCUGGCUCGUUUUGUUUCGUGGGGCGCAAAUGUGGGUGGGCCUUUUCGGGAGGGAUUAGUG
rnacentral:lncRNA from 1 species